UUAACCUUUGAAAUAUGGUUAUAUUUUACAUUUUAAUUAUUAUUUACAUAAUAUUUGUUUGAACAAAUAAACGAAUCAUGACAUUGAUAUCAUCUGGUAUCAAAGAUCAAACCCAUAUACAAAUACUACGUGCCAUUUCUGAAGAUUUUAUGAACCUAUAGGAAGAGAUAACCUAUAGGUGUAAUUUCCGUUACUGAACAGGAAAACUAUAGACUUGGGAACUUAUUGUUUUAAAAAACAUAAAAAAAAUUAAAAUAUGUGCAUGCAGGAUGCAGAUAUUCACCAAUAAAUCAUCUAUCACAAUAAAUAAACAAAAGUAUGUUUGACUGAAUUAUAUUUUUAUUGAAUAUCUCUAUUUCUAAUAUUAAUUUUUCUCUCAUUACAAUAUACUGUUUCUAUAUUAAGGCCAUCUUAUUCUGAAAAUAAAAUCUCAAGUCAAUAUAUAUAGAUUGUCAUUAGCAAUGGGCAGCACAAAACUUAUCGAAUAUCGAGUACGAAAAUAUAAAAAUGUAUGUAAUGUUGGUAUAGUAAAAAUAUUUUCAACUUUUAGCUACAUUUUUUUUUUUUUUUGCAGAAUUAUUAAAAAAAUAAAUAAUACCCAAGUAUGCUAAUAAGAAAAAACCUUAAACUGUUCAAAAUUCCUUACACGUUUUAUGUAAGAUUUAUAUUUAAUUUAUUUAAUAGGUAAGUAAAAAUAAAACAAAAUGUAUAUUAUAAUAAUAUGCUAGAAGUCCCAAAGGCUACCCAGUAGUACCCACAAUAAUUAAUAUAAUUAACCGAGAAAGUAAAAAUGCAAAAUAUACGGGGCAGUAUAAGCAUUUAAGUUGAAUGCGUUUCGGUUUGAAAUUUCAUAAACGUUGGGAUAUAAGGGCUAAACUGUACAAAUACAUAAUAACUAUGUACACGAUGACACGUCUUAUGUUAUUAUGUUAAGGUAAUUGACAUUUUUCCAAACAUGAUACAACAUAGGUACUUAUUAUACGUAAUAUGUAUACAUAAUUAUUUACACUUCAAUCUACUCUUUGCCGGUAUGAUAUUAUAUGUAUAAAUGUAUGUAAACAUCACCGCAGUUUAUAUUAUAAUAAUAUUGCUUCAUUUUAUUUAUUUAUUUAUUUUUUUGAUACUCGUGUAUGUGUAAUCUGUUUACAUCAUGACGUACACAUAGGUGCACCCAUAUGUGUCGGUAUCGGCUUGUAUUUCCGCGAUCCACUCACGCUGUGCAUAAUCCCGUCGCCGCUGGUUUGGAAACAAAACGAUUUUCAAAACACUCGGACCCGAUCGUAUGUCAGACAAUAAUAUAACUUACCACCGUCGUAGUCGUAAGUUUAUAAUAUAAUACAACAAUAAUAUUAUGUAUCUCCUGGUAGGCGAUUUGUCGUCGAUAAAGAUACUAAUAACAAAUGCAAUUACAAUAGUAAUAGGCACUAUUAAUACUAUUAUGAUAUACUUCUCUUUUCAGAUAUUAUUCAUAUUACAAUAUGUCUAUAGAUUUACUAUAUAAUACUAUAUAUUAUUAUGUUUCAAAUGGUUGUCGAAGAUAAUAAUUAGGUAUACACGAGAACCGUUCAAACAAUGGUCGGAGAGCUGCCAGCUGAUUAUGUUUUUGCCGGUUACUAACCUUUGAAAAUAACACAAUCGCUUUACGUGUAGGUACCAGACAUUGUAUGUAUAAAAGGUAAACACAUAUUUGUCCCGAACGAUUUCCUUUCUUCCUUACAACCGCCUGCAAGAUGAAAAAUAUUGUGUGCAUAAUAUCAUAAAAUAUAGGUUUAUUCUGCCUUUUGCUUAAUUUUACCGUAAACGAACAUGACCGAGCUUGGAACGAUUUAUCAUUAGACAAUCUUCGAACGUCGGACUCAGCCUAAGUCGAAUUAAAAUAAUGACUACGGAAAUUACGAAAGGGGACGAAAAAUUAAUGUUAUAAAAACUUAGACUCUUAGAAACAUAUUUUUUUAUUACCUUCGUUCUCGACUUCCAAAUGCGUGUAAUCAAUCACAAUUUGAUCAGCACACUUUACCUAAUAUUAGCCUUGACUUAUGAUGUAACGACUUCCGAUAGUUUAAAAAUCAUUAAUGACUCUAUAAAGGGGUGAGCACAUUGUUCUACAACCCAUUGUAACAUAUUUGAGGUUCUCCGAGGAUUCUUAUUCACUGUUCUUUGCUUUUUUUUUUAUUAUUGUUGUUUUUGUUUUCCCAGGUUAAUUAAAAAAAAAAAAAGUUUUACAAUUAAUAUCUGUGAUAUAAUUUUAUUCAUAAGAGUUGACAAUUUUAUAAAAAUUGUAUUAUACAGUAACAGACAGCAGUAUAUUAUACAUUAUAGUAUGUAUGUAUAACAUAGGACAAAAUUGUUUAUUAUAA